rnacentral:rRNA from 1 species
UACGGAGGGUGCGAGCGUUGUCCGGAAUCACUGGGCGUAAAGUGUGCGCAGGUGGCCGCGCAAGUCGAGUGUGAAAUCCCCGAGCUUAACUUGGGAAUUGCGCUCGAAACUACGUGGCUCGAGUGUGGCAGAGGAAGGUGGAAUUCCACGUGUAGCGGUGAAAUGCGUAGAGAUGUGGAGGAACACCGAUGGCGAAGGCAGCCUUCUGGGCCAACACUGACGCUCAUGCACGAAAGCGUGGGGAGCAAACAGG